rnacentral:miRNA from 1 species
GACGUCGAUAUUCGACGUCAUAAACACGAACAACUUUGGUGUUUAUGACGUCGAUAUUCGACGUCAUAAACACGAUCAACUUUGGUGUUUAUGACGUCGAUAUUCGACGUCAUAAACACGAUAAACUUAGAUGUUUAUGACGUCGAUAUUCGACGUCAUAAACACGAUCAACUUUGGUGUUUAUGACGUCGAUAUUCGACGUCAUAAACACGAUCAAUUUUGGUGUUUAUGACGUCGAUAUUCGACGUC